rnacentral:rRNA from 2 species
AGUACGAGAGGACCGGGAUGGACAUACCUCUGGUGUACCAGUUGUCGUGCCAACGGCAUAGCUGGGUAGCUAUGUAUGGACGGGAUAAGUGCUGAAAGCAUCUAAGCAUGAAGCCCCCCUCAAGAUGAGAUUUCCCAACUUCGGUUAUAAGAUCCCUCGAAGAUGACGAGGUUAAUAGGUUCGAGGUGGAAGCGUGGUGACACGUGGAGCUGACGAAUACUAAUCGAUCGAAGACUUAAUCAA